rnacentral:lncRNA from 1 species
AAAAGAACAAAGUUUUGUCCAUCUUUGUUCAUCAUAGCUGAAAGUUAGAGAAGAGAAAGGAGAGGAGAACGCUCUUGAGUAUUCGGUCAUUAGGAGGAGGAAAAUUGAAGGUAAGUUCUUGGUACCUUGCUUCUAUUUUGAGGUUCAUGAGUUCUUCUUGAUUCUACCUUAACUCUUGAAGUAUAUUUUUAUUUUUAGUUGUGUUGUAAGCAUUUAGUCAUGAAUUAAAAUGAAGGAAAUGGUUGUUGUUUCAUGUUCUUUUGAUGAAAAAUGGAAGAUAGGUGAAGUUGAGCCAAACAAAUGAGCAUGCAUGUGCCUUAGAUGUUAAAGGGAAAAAUCAGCUAACAUGUUGUGCUUUAAAAUGAUGAAAUGGAGAUUAUACUUAAGUAAAAUCAUAGAUAUGUGAUGAUUGAUUGGUGAUAUACAUGUUUAAAUAACAUGCAUGCAAGGUAUGUGUGAAAGAGUGAUUUGGUAAUAAAUCUGCUUGGGACAGCAGCAGUAACGUGACUUUGGAAAAUCACCAUAAAUUGUGGGAGAUGAAUUAGAAGCUGAAUAAAUUAUGUAAUUAAAUCUUGUUGAGUCUAGUUUCAAAUGAAAUAAACAAAAACAUAUUUUGAAUUCUGUACAAUGAGAAAUUUGAUUCGUAAUGAAGAGUGGUCAGAUUAGUCAAACAGUGAAACAUGCGAAACUUUGAGAAAACUCUGGUAUUGAUUGGACAAACCAAAAAUUCUAAAAAUUUUAUGGAUAGAAGAUAUAUGAGUCUAUUUUCAAGGAAAAUUAACGGAACUUGAUUUGGAGUUUCGUAGCUCCAGUUAUAAAUGAUUUAGUGACUGUUGCUCAGGAAGACAGCUUGCAGUGAAAUUAUGAUUAUGUGGUAAACAUUGACAAAAAUUUGUUAAUGAGUUGCUUAUUGAUUUCUUAUAAGCUUACUAUGAUCUGUAGGUUUGGUUGGCUGAAUAUUAUAAGGGGUUAAUACGUAGUUUGUAUUUGAAUAGUUAGAUUAACGUGUUAGUAAUCCAAUUGUAGGCGGUUCGUGUGUGGAUCUCGUCAGCAUAUCGUCGCAAACAGGUGUGUAACUGACACCCUCUCAUAGACUAGAUUGGCAAAAGCCGAAAAGCCGAAAUGCCGAAAAGUCAGUAUUUUAGGAAUUUGCGAGUGUGCGAAUGCUCGUAAGAUAGUUGGGUUUGUAUAUUUGGUAAUCUAAAGUAAUAAACUGCAGUACGCGCAAUUUCGUACAUUUUGAUAAUUUGGGCUUAAUGGGCCAAAGAUCGGUUCAUGGGCCAACGGGCCCAAUUCGGUAAGUAUGCGCGGUAAGUGUUCUGAUAGUACGUAAAUAGUUAGGAUAUGCAUGAAAACGCUAAAAGUAGCCAAAUUACUAUAAUACCCCUAUGUAUGGAAAAUUACUGUUAUACCCCUAGGUGUAAAAUUACCAUUAUACCCCUAGGGUUAAUUUUGACUGAAAAGCAUGACGAUCUGAUUCUGUAUGAUGUAUGCCAUGAUUAUAUAUCUGUUGCAUGGGGACAUGGGUUAUAUUUUGGAGGAAGCGUUCUGGUGGCUAUGCCACAAAUAUCUGAUCUGGUGGCUCUGCCACAAAUAUCUGAUCUGGUGGCUCUGCCACAUAUAUCUGUUCUGGUGGCUCUACCACGAUUAUCUGUAUCUGGUGACUCUGUCACAUUAUCUGUUCUGGCAGCCAUGCUGCAAAUUCUGUGGUGUGUAGCGGUUGGGUGGGUCGAGUUGUCUCCCCACACGGUGUAAGGUUGGUACGGGAGUGUAUACGGUUGGAUAUGGUUGGGUUUCUGCAUAAACAUGUAAUAUAUGUUCUGUUCUGUUAUGGGCCUAUGGGCUUUAUUCUGAAUUAUGUUCUGGGCUAAGGCCAACUUAUUCUAUUUCUGUGGUUUGAGCUGAUAUAGGCUAUGGUUGGGUUAAUUUACACACUGAGUUUCCCCAAACUCACCCCUUUUAUUUUCAUCUACGCAGGAAAUCUCCAACCAUAGUGGGCUUGGAGCUGUGAGGGAAUUCGAAGUGGCCACCCGUUCUGAAAGUUUGAUUUUCUUCUGGUGAACUGGACAUCCUUUUAUUUACGUUUGAAGUUUUGGGUUUUUAAAUGUAAUAAGGCCGCUUAAUUAUUUUUGAUGGUUUUAAUAUGUAUUACUAAGAUAGGUAUUACUUAUUUUAACUGUUGA